CUGCUAUCUCGCCGCAACCGCGGUGACGAUGGCGGCGGCGCACAAGGUUCCUCCCGCACUCGGGUUCAUCCUGAUGCUGGUGUCGGUGGCGCUGAUUGCCGCUGUCGUCGGCCUCCUCAUGGAGCGCGGACUGAUCAAGCUGUUCUACGGCCGCGAUGAAGUCGUGCUGCUGCUCGUGACCUACGCUGUAUUCCUGAUCUUCGAGGACGCGACCAAGCUGAUCUGGGGCGUCAAUCCGAUCUACGCGAAUCAGCCCUAUGAGCUGUUCGGCAAUGCCGAGUUA
rnacentral:misc_RNA from 1 species